rnacentral:rRNA from 1 species
UACAGAGGUCUCAAGCGUUGUUCGGAUUCAUUGGGCGUAAAGGGUGUGUAGGUGGCGCCGUAAGUCGGGUGUGAAAUUUCGGGGCUUAACUCCGAAACUGCAUUCGAUACUGCCGUGCUUGAGGACUGGAGAGGAGACUGGAAUUUACGGUGUAGCGGUGAAAUGCGUAGAUAUCGUAAGGAAGACCAGUGGCGAAGGCGGGUCUCUGGACAGUUCCUGACGCUGAGGCACGAAGGCCAGGGGAGCAAACGGG